UACGUAGGGUGCAAGCGUUGCCCGGAUUUAUUGGGCGUAAAGGGCGCGUAGGCGGCUCUGCACGUUCGUUGUGAAAUCGCCCGGCUCAACUGGGCGGGUCAGCGGAUACGGCAGAGCUUGAGCAAGCUAGGGGGCAAUGGAAUUCCCGGUGUAGUGGUGGAAUGCGUAGAUAUCGGGAGGAACACCAGUGGCGAAGGCGGUUGCCUGGGGCUUGCUGACGCUGAUGCGCGAAAGCGUGGGGAGC
rnacentral:rRNA from 1 species